GGCUUUGCGAGGCUCACUCGGUCUGAGAGGUCGGAGGCUGCGAGUGUCGCUGCUGAAGGCUGUGGUGGACCGGGCUGGAUCGCGGAUUGUGGAGUAGAUUAUAGAUUUGAAAUAGCGGAGUUGGGGUUGGAUCGGGGCUUUGGGGUUGGAUAGGGGAUUUGGGGCUGGGUCGGCCGGGGUCGGGGAGGGGGGUGGUGAAAAGGUGACAGGGAGCUGCCCUCGCUCAAGAGCCGGUGGUUGGGGGUCUGAGAAGAAGUCACCAAUAUGAAGUUAUUCGGCUUCGGGAGCCGCAGGGGCCAGACGGCCCAGGGCUCCAUAGACCACGUCUACACGGGUUCCGGAUACCGAAUCCGGGACUCCGAACUGCAGAAGAUCCACAGGGCAGCUGUCAAAGGCGACGCCGCGGAGGUGGAGCGCUGCUUGGCGCGCAGGAGCGGAGAACUGGACGCCCUGGACAAGCAGCACAGGAAAUUCUUUCAAAUCAAAUCAUCAAACACUCUAAAAGUGGGCAAAGUACCUUUUUCCAGAUCUACAAGUUACUUAUAUACAUAGGAAAAAAUCCUUCGCAUUUCUGGUAUAAGAAUUUAAACUAAAAGAGGAAUGAAACAGUUUUCUAUCCACAAUAUUUGUGAGGAUGUUUUAUACUGCUGCUUAAAGUUGCUGAUUACUUUUCAAAGUACUCAUUUGAAAAUGAACUGCUCUACACUUGGCCUGUGCCAGUGGCCAUGUGCAAGUGGUCACUCUCCUGGUUAACAGAAAAUGCCAGAUUGAUGUCUGUGACAAAGAAAACAGAACGCCUUUGAUACAGGCUGUCCAUUGCCAGGAAGAGGCUUGUGCCGUUAUUCUGCUGGAACAUGGCGCCAAUCCAAACCUUAAGGAUAUCUACGGCAACACUGCUCUCCAUUAUGCCGUGUAUAGUGAGAGCACCUCACUGGCAGAAAAACUGCUUUCCCAUGGUGCACAUAUUGAAGCACUGGACAAGGACAAUAAUACCCCACUUUUAUUUGCUAUAAUUUGCAAGAAAGAGAAAAUGGUGGAAUUUUUAUUGAAAAAGAAAGCAAGUUCACAUGCCGUUGAUAGGCUGAGACGGUCAGCUCUCAUGCUUGCUGUAUACUAUGACUCACCAGGUAUUGUCAAUAUCCUUCUUAAGCAAAAUAUUGAUGUCUUCGCUCAAGACAUGUGUGGACGAGAUGCAGAAGAUUAUGCUAUUUCUCAUCAUUUGACAAAAAUUCAACAACAAAUUUUGGAACAUAAAAAGAAGAUACUUAAAAAGGAGAAAUCAGAUGUUGGAAGUUCUGAUGAAUCUGCAGUCAGGUAGGAUUUUAUAGAUUUAAAAAAUUAUGUUAACUAAGAAAAUAUAGAUGGAAGAAAUGAGUAUCUGUUGAGUGUUGUAUUCUG
ensembl:lncRNA ANKRD20A5P ankyrin repeat domain 20 family member A5, pseudogene